rnacentral:rRNA from 1 species
AGAGUUUGAUCAUGGCUCAGAACGAACGCUGGCGGCAGGCCUAACACAUGCAAGUCGAGCGCUGUAGCAAUACAGAGCGGCGCACGGGUGAGUAACACGUGGGAACGUGCCUAUCGGUUCGGAAUAACGUAGGGAAACUUGCGCUAAUACCGAAUACGCCCCCUGGGGGAAAGAUUUAUCGCCGAUAGAGCGGCCCGCGUCCGAUUAGCUUGUUGGUGAGGUAAAAGCUCACCAAGGCAACGAUCGGUAGCUGGUUUGAGAGAACGACCAGCCACACUGGGACUGAGACACGGCCCAGACUCCUACGGGAGGCAGCAGUGGGGAAUCUUGGACAAUGGGGGAAACCCUGAUCCAGCCAUGCCGCGUGAGUGAUGAAGGCCUUAGGGUUGUAAAACUCCUUCGCGCACGACGAUAAUGACGGUAGUGCGAGAAGAAGCUCCGGCUAACUUCGUGCCAGCAGCCGCGGUAAUACGAAGGGGGCUAGCGUUGUUCGGAAUUACUGGGCGUAAAGCGCGCGCAGGCGGUUCUUUAAGUCAGGGGUGAAAGCCCAGAGCUCAACUCUGGAACUGCCCUUGAAACUAGAGAACUUGGGUACGGGAGAGGUGAGUGGAAUUCCGAGUGUAGAGGUGAAAUUCGUAGAUAUUCGGAAGAACACCAGUGGCGAAGCGGCUCACUGGCCCGUUACCGACGCUCAGGCGCGACAGCGUGGGGAGAAACAGGAUUAGAUACCCNNGUAGUCC